rnacentral:rRNA from 1 species
AUUGAACGCUGGCGGCAUGCCUUACACAUGCAAGUCGAACGGCAGCACGGGAGCAAUCCUGGUGGCGAGUGGCGAACGGGUGAGUAAUAUAUCGGAACGUGCCCAGUCGUGGGGAUAACGUAGCGAAAGCUACGCUAAUACCGCAUACGAUCUACGGAUGAAAGCGGGGGAUCGCAAGACCUCGCGCGAUUGGAGCGGCCGAUAUCAGAUUAGGUAGUUGGUGAGGUAAAGGCUCACCAAGCCGACGAUCUGUAGCUGGUCUGAGAGGACGACCAGCCACACUGGGACUGAGACACGGCCACGACUCCUACGGAGGCAGCAGUGGGGAAGUUUUUGGUACAAAUGGCGCAAGCCUGAUCCAGCAAUGCCGCGUGCAGG